rnacentral:lncRNA from 1 species
GAAAUGUAGUUACGAAACAGUAAACAGUUUUUUAUAAACGCUCUACUUCAGACAGCUCUACUUCCAACAGCUCUACUUCCAAAAGCUCUACUACUAACAGCUCCCGCAAACAGGACCUAAUGCUGUUGGUAUAUUGGGGCUUCUACGGGUUACGUGGAGUUUCAUCAGAUAAAUUAAGGAUGUCAAUGCAAUUUAUAAUAAAUAGUGUCUUUAAUGGAAAUGCGGGAUUUUAGGGAUUUGUUUAUUUAGAUUAAGUGUGUUUUUUAUGGGAAGUCUUUCUAUGGCAAAAAGUUUCUAAAUUCAAGUGAUAUAUUUAAUGAAAGCAUUGUUGUAGGUGGAAACUGAGUUGUCAACUGCGGUAUUGAUUUUCUGUCUAUGUAAGUUCUUAAUAGCAGCUGCAAAAGAAUUGCGUUAUGCUGCAGAGUAUUUAAUUUCCUGGGGUUGACUUCCCAUAAAAUGCCAAUAAGUUUUAUGCCUUGUCUCUCCUUGAUAUUUUUACAUUGAGAGGCUCCUUAAGCUGUCUGCUCUCUCUCUCUCUCUCUCUC